AUUCUUUUAUAGUUCAUAAGUGUGAUGAUUGGGUUUUCACACUCAUGUGAGAUACAUCUCCCUCAAACCUUAUUAGGCAUUAGUACAUUACUCAUCUGAUG